GUGCUUGCUUCAGCAGGGCAUAUACUAAAACUGGAAUGAUGCAGAGAUUAGCCUAGCUCCUGAGCAAGGAAAACACACCAAUUUGUGGUCUUCCAUAUUUUA
rnacentral:snRNA from 1 species